CGAGGCAUCCCCGAUCCAUCCAGCAUCUUCUCGCGCAGUCUUCUUCGACCCGCUGCCACAGUCCCGGCGCCCCAGGCCCUGCGCAGAUGAAGACCCUCCCUCGGACGGCUUUGCGGGCCCUGCCUCAGCCGGCGCCCCCUUCUCUCCUGCAGGACCCGGACCCGCGCUGCAGGGGCUGAGUGCCCCCUGGGUCGGCAUCUGAGUCUUGCCUCCCCGUAGGCUCAGUACCUGGCACGUGUCCAAGGCUCAGCAGCUGUACCACAACCACCCAACAGGAGAGAAGGAAAGGAGAGGUGCACCCCGGGGAUGUGGUGAGGCCAUCCCGUCAUGGGGAAUCAGAAAAGGACUGCGUCUUAGCCAGCCAGCUGGGGGAAGGUGGGGGUACCUCUUGUGUUUCCUUUUCUUGGAAUUAUUCUCCCUGGUGACCGGUAUAUAUCCAUUUGAGGCCCCUUGGCAUGAGAUAGAGCCCAGGUCACCAGGGGAGACUUAAAUAGACACCAGACCUCACCUCGAAGGCGACCUAAGGUGCUCCUGCCCCUUUGCCCUCCCCGUCCAGACCAGGCACUGCCUGUCAGGUGCUGCACGCUCCCAAACCUGUCCUGGAUUUUCCAUCCUCUUCAAGAUUCACCUUCCCAAACCUAUACCAUGUCAUCCGAGACGCACAAAAGCUGAUCUGAAAAGUCUUCUCUGCCUCAGAUGCAGAUGAAUUGUCAUCCCGUGGAGGGUAGUCAGUUUCCUUCCUGCUCACAAGAAGAUGGUGUGGCUCAUGGGAUGGUAACGACAGCCCCCAUUCAUGAAGUGGCUAGCUGUUGUACCAGAUAUGUAGAUAAGUUGCCUGGGCUUCUCGGGACAUGUGACCAGGUGGCAUCUGGGUUGCUCACCCAGGGCUUCUUGAUUGUUGCAGAGGAGGCAGCACCGGGCAGAGGGGCCCUUGAGAGAUGUCACCAUCCUGUUAAGAAAGGGCUGGACCACAGCGCUGCAGAGGUGAGCUCUGUUCAUUGGAGGUCUGGGGCUUGGCAUCCCGCAAGUGCCCACAGGUCCCCUGGUGUGAUGUUCUCUGGGAAGUAGGUAGAGGAGUGACGAGGGUGGCUUCGUCCUGGCCUUCUCUGGGGCCUUCAAGAACACACCUGGUUUCUAUUUAUGCCCUUGAUUCUGAGAGCUCUUCCUCAAAUGUUGGCAGCAGAACGUGUGAGUUGAAGCAGGGAAGGGAGUUUGGCAUAUCCACCUGUACGUGGGUCUCCGUCACUUCUCUGCCGCCUCCUAGCUUUGGGACCUUCUCUUACCUCUGGUUUCACCCUCUGGAAAGCAGGACUCAAAUGAGGCUAUUUGUCUUCAGAUCACAUGGCAUCUGUUUUUUACAACCUGAGACCUCUUUCACUUUUCCUUCGGAGGCCUCUCCUGUCUGGGCCACGGGGAAGGCUUUGUGCAGGACUGGAAGCAGUUGCUGGGUCCUUGGGCUCCACUGGGUUCACUACUCCCAGGCCUUUUCCAUGGGCCUCCUUUUCCAGCAAGCCCCCGUCUUUCCCUGCCCCUGCACUUGGACAUGAUCACCGGCUGCCCAUGGCCCGUUGGUAGGCAGUGCGGGCGGAGGGAGCGUGGGCGGGUUGUCCCGCGCUUGGAGAGUCUGCUUCCUUACCCUGCAGUUCCAGGAGCUUUCCCACCCUCCUGCUGCUCCCCUCAUACUCCUGGAGCCUCCAGGGCUUCAGGGGCUGUCCUGUGUGCGUUAGUGUCAUUGUUGGGGCUUUUAUUUCCUGCCCUGCUGUUGGGAACCGGACUACAUGUGCUGCGUGAGUUCCCCUGAAUGUUCAGUUGCUGCCACUCGGCCAUGGCAUGUUCCCAUGGGCCUGGCCUUGACACCCUUUUCUGCCCACCACUGGUGAAUGGCAUGCUGAUUAGCGCUGGCCACCCUGCCGCAGGCCAUCCGCCGUCUCCCUCUUUAGAGUUAACUACUGUUCUUUUUAUGAGGAAACGGCGUGUCUAUUCAGGAAAUGAUCACUGCCAGCAUCUGCAGAGUGCUUACUGUCUGGCGGCUUCUGUGCUGAGCCCUUUUCUGCUGCCUGCCAUGCGCUGUAUGAGCAGGGGCAAGGCAGGUGCUCAUUCUCAGCUUCUUGUCCGAUGCAGAUGAGUCCACGGUGUGCAGAGGCCGUCGUGGAAGUUGUCGUGUCAGCAGCGCUGUAGACCCCAGUGUCCUUGAGUGUUCAUUCUGACUCUUCUCUGGGAGCAUUGAGAUUCCUUUUUGAGCCAAGUUUGGUGUGGAAAAAAACACUGCAGCUCAUCUCUGACUAAUUGGGGACGCUUUCAUGGAUGUCACCUUAAAGAAAGAUGAGGGGUGCUGCUUUGGAAGAAGCCUCGGGGGUCAGAACCACUCGCCCUCUCAAGGUAUUUAGGGGCUGACCGCGGACACUGGCGUAGCAGCGUGAAGCAGGAUGUUGUCGCAUGACCAUCGCCAAACCUUUCUCUUCUGUUGCCUCAGCACAGCGUGGAAGGACUCUGCCCUCUGUGUGAACAGGGCAGAGGGGAAGUUCUGGGGCUCCAGGGACUUGGGGUUCAGAGCUGGAGACCUUCUACUGGCUCCCAGCAGGUGCCUCAGAACACUGCUGACCAGGAAGACUGUCUCUUCCCAUCUGGACCAGGUCAUCCUGUGGCUUCUGUGUCUCCCAUUUGCUCCUAGUAUAACUUUUUAGAACCAGGAGUUCCUGUUGGAGUCUUGUGUGCCGUGCAUCUUAUCUUCUCACCCACUUAAAUAAAUCUCGAAACUGC
rnacentral:lncRNA from 1 species